rnacentral:rRNA from 1 species
UCCUACGGGGGGCAGCAGUGAGGAAUAUUGGUCAAUGGUCGGGAGACUGAACCAGCCAAGCCGCGUGAGGGAUGAAGGUACAGAGUAUCGUAAACCUCUUUUGUCAGGGAACAAAGGCGGGGACGUAUCCCCGGAUGAGUGUACCUGAAGAAAAAGCAUCGGCUAACUCCGUGCCAGCAGCCGCGGUAAUACGGAGGAUGCGAGCGUUAUCCGGAUUUAUUGGGUUUAAAGGGUGCGCAGGCGGUCUGUUAAGUCAGCGGUCAAAGCCCGGGGCUCAACCCCGGCCCGCCGUUGAAACUGGCAGG